ACGAUGGAAUCAUGAAAUUAUGAAGUUGACAUCAAAUGUUUGAGCAACUAAAUACUGCAUUGGCAUUUAUGCACCUAAAUCAAUCAUAGGCAAAAACAUUAACAUAGGAAAAUAGCUAACUCGCUCGAGUUUCCUCAAAAGCCCGGUAAAGAGCAGCACAAAAGGGCGAGUGACAAAAGAAUCUCCUCAGCAAACAUCGGAUCUCUUUCGAUUAUGUGCUUAUGACUCUAGCCUUACUAGCACCAUAAUGGGGUCGCCGCUAAUCUACGA
rnacentral:misc_RNA from 1 species